rnacentral:rRNA from 1 species
GAAGGGGGCUAGCGUUGCUCGGAAUCACUGGGCGUAAAGGGUGCGUAGGCGGGCGUAUAAGUCAGUGGUGAAAUCCUGGAGCUUAACUCCAGAACUGCCAUUGAUACUAUAUGUCUUGAAUAUGGUGGAGGUAAGCGGAAUAUGUCAUGUAGCGGUGAAAUGCAUAGAUAUGACAUAGAACACCUAUUGCGAAGGCAGCUUACUACGCCUAUAUUGACGCUGAGGCACGAAAGCGUGGGGAUCAAACAGGAUUAGAUACCCUGGUAGUCCACGCCCUAAACGAUGAUUACUCGACGUGUGCGAUAAACGGUACGCGUCUGAGCGAAAGCAUUAAGUAAUCCACCUGGGAAGU